AAUUCCUACGGGGGGCAGCAGUGAGGAAUAUUGGUCAAUGGGCGGAAGCCUGAACCAGCCAAGUCGCGUGAGGGAAUAAGGCCCUACGGGUCGUAAACCUCUUUUGCCGGGGAGCAAGGGCGGGGACGUGUCCCGGCCCGGAGAGUACCCGGAGAAAAAGCAUCGGCUAACUCCGUGCCAGCAGCCGCGGUAAUACGGAGGAUGCGAGCGUUAUCCGGAUUUAUUGGGUUUAAAGGGUGCGCAGGCGGAAGCGCAAGUCAGCGGUAAAAUUGAGAGGCUCAACCUCUUCCCGCCGUUGAAACUGG
rnacentral:rRNA from 1 species